UACGGGGGGGGCAAGCGUUGUUCGGAAUUACUGGGCGUAAAGGGCUCGUAGGCGGCCAACUAAGUCGGAUGUGAAAUCCCCAGGCUUAACCUGGGAACUGCAUCCGAUACUGGAUGGCUUGAAUCCGGGAGAGGGAUGCAGAAUUCCAGGUGUAGCGGUGAAAUGCGUAGAUAUCUGGAGGAAUACCGGUGGCGAAGGCGGCCUCCUGGUUCAAUACUGACGCUGAGGUGCGAAAGCGUGGGGAGCAAACAGG
rnacentral:rRNA from 1 species